rnacentral:lncRNA from 1 species
UAUAUGUGGGUAUAAAUACAUAAAUGAUAUAAAAAACUGAUGUACACGUACAACUCAUACACAUAAACCAACAUGUACAUAUUUGUAAGUAGUUGGCACAUACAUGAAUGAUGCACGUAACAAACUAGUAAAACUAGUAGUUUGUUGAGUUCACCUAAUUAUCAUGUGCAAUACUAGUACUAGAAUUGUAACCAUCAUAAUAUCGAAUGCAUGCGAUAACAUACCACCGCAACGCACGG